rnacentral:rRNA from 14 species
AAUUCCUUGUCGGGUAAGUUCCGACCUGCACGAAUGGCGUAACGAUGGCGGCGCUGUCUCCACCCGAGACUCAGUGAAAUUGAAAUCGCUGUGAAGAUGCAGUGUAUCCGCGGCUAGACGGAAAGACCCCGUGAACCUUUACUAUAGCUUUGCACUGGACUUUGAAUUUGCUUGUGUAGGAUAGGUGGGAGGCUUUGAAGUAAGGUCGCUAGAUCUUAUGGAGCCGACGUUGAAAUACCACCCUGGUGUGUUUGAGGUUCUAACCUUGGCCCGUGAUCCGGGUUGGGGACAGUGUAUGGUGGGCAGUUUGACUGGGGCGGUCUCCUCCCAAAGCGUAACGGAGGAGUUCGAAGGUACGCUAGUUACGGUCGGAAAUCGUGACGAUAGUGCAUUGGCAUAAGCGUGCUUGACUGCGAGACUGACAAGUCGAGCAGGUACGAAAGU